rnacentral:rRNA from 1 species
UAACCUGCCCAAGAGAUCGGGAUAACACCUGGAAACAGAUGCUAAUACCGGAUAACAACAGAUGAUGCCUAUCAACUGUUUAAAAGAUGGUUCUGCUAUCACUCUUGGAUGGACCUGCGGUGCAUUAGCUAGUUGGUAGGGUAACGGCCUACCAAGGCGAUGAUGCAUAGCCGAGUUGAGAGACUGAUCGGCCACAUUUGGACUGAGACACGGCCCAAACUCCUACGGGAGGCAGCAGGC